AUCUAUCUGAAGAGUCCUAAAUAGGAUGAAAUGCGCGUCCUGGAU
rnacentral:hammerhead_ribozyme from 1 species